GAUUGAUACAACUUUUUAAUUACUAAACAUUUGUGUUGUAUUCAUGAAAUUUUUAUUAUAUAUAGGAGAGAAGUUACCGACGUCAGGUUCAUAGAAGUGGAUGUAAGUAAUAAUAUAGGCAACCGUUCGACCUUCAACAAUGGAAAAUUUCCAAACCGUAUUAUCGGCUAUAAAAGGCCCGAAAUAAACAAUAUGAAACAAUUCAAAUUUAUAACAAAACCGUUUACGAAAAACAAAUAUGACCGACAUGAACCAACAUGAACCAACAUUAACCGACGACAACCACUGAACUACAGGCUCCUGACUUGGGACAUGUACAUACAGCAUGUGGCGGGAUUAAACAUAUAUGUGAGAGCUCAACCCUCCCCCUAACCUGGAGCAGUGGUGAAACAGCACAACAUAAGAACAAACUAUAAAAAACAGUUGAAAAAGGCUCAACUCAUCAGAUUUAGGCAAAGCAGAACAUUCAAACAAAAACACAUACCGGACGUGGCAAGGUAUUUAUCCAUAUUUUGUCCAUAACAACAAAAAGGACACUAAGGACGGAUAUGAGAGUAUUUGCAGUUACUGACAAAGUUACAAAGCCAAUAUCAACUAGUAAAAUAAAUCAUGUAUCUGAGACUAAAAUAUCAAUCAGUACACAUCCAACAUCCAAUUGAUUUAGUUUUAGUGGAGACACAUGCAGUGACAAAUCAAGAAAAAGGUGCUUAUUUUACGACCGGCAUAACUGCAGGCUAAAAACCAUUAUUUUGCAAAAGCCAGUACCUUAAUCUAACCGUUUUGCCCGGUCGUAGCCUUUUUCUGCGGUGCAGUUUUUUUUUAAUAUAAAAUGGAAAGAAAAAAGACAUUUAGAUUUCUUUUCAAAUUUCAACAUGAAAAACAUUUUGAAUUUUUUUACUUUUUUGGGGUCUUUUGGCAUUUUAUUUUGCAUUUUAUAAAGAGUUUAAGUGUUUAUUCAUAUUGUAAAACUAGAAUUCCUCCUAAUUAUACUGAAUUUUGUUCAUUUUGACUCGUUUAACGAAUGCGCACUCUGUAUUAUUUUAACGAAGUGGUUACAACAUUAAUUUUGUAAAUUUAGAUUACAUCGAUAAUUUCAUGAUUUUCCGAUUUAAAAUGUUAUAAAACUUCCUUUUGUAAAGUAUUGAAGCCACUCCAACUCAGUAUUUCUAAUAAAUUAACUUUUAUGAGGAUUUUUAACUUAGCAUUAUAUAGUUCCAUGAAUUCCUCAAUCGCUUCAAUAUUUAUCUUAGAAUUGUUCGUAGUUGUACCAUUUAAUUAUGGUUUUAUUGAUAUUUUUGCAUCAGAAGUUUAUUGUACAUUGUUUAUACAAGUUUCUGACUUAUUAAUUUUGCGUUAAAUAGUUAUUUUACCGUGUGUUUUUACUUUAGUUAAAAAUCUUUACUCACUAAAAAUCAAGUUGGACCGGAUAGGGUUUAUUCCCGGAAUAUGUCGACUAUUAAUAGUUCACUAGUUUAGUUUAAACAUGUUUUAUUGUUCAACCAGAUGCUCCGCAGGGCGCAGCUUUAUACGAAGGCAGAGGUCUAACCCUGAAGAGUUGGGGCAAGUAUGGACGCAACAUUUAAGCUUGAUACAGCUCUGAAUUUGGAUUGUGAUUAAAUAGUUGACACAACAUAGGUUUCUGACACAGAAUGAAUGUGGUCUAAGAACUUAAACUUAAAAACUUAAAAAUUUUAAAUUGGACAUUUACCUAUUAUUGUCCAAUAUCCAAAAUCUAAAUACAUGGUUAGAUUCAGCAUAUCAUAGAACCCCAAGAAUUCAAUUUUUGAUGAAAUCCAAAAAUGUUCAAUUUUAGACCUUUUAGACUUCAAUGUGGACGAAUUUGAUAACCGGGCCCAAAUAUCAAAAAUCUAAAUACAUGGUUAUAUUCAGCAUAUUGAAGAACCCCAUAUAUUUAAUUUUUGUUGAAGUCAAACAAAGUUUAAUUUUGGACCCCGAUUUGGACCAACUUGAAAACUGGGCCUAAUCAAAAAUCUAAGUACAUGUUUAGAUUCAGCAUAUCAAAGAACCCCAAGAAUUCAUUUUUUGUUAAAAUCAAACUACGUUUAAUUUUGGACCUUUUUGACCUUAUAAUGUAGACCAAUUUGAAAACAGGACCAUAAAUUAAGAAUCUAAAUACACGGUUAGAUUUGGUAUAUCAAAGAAUCACAGUAAUUAAUUUUUUAAUGAAAUCAAACAAAGUUUAAUUUUGGACCCUUUUGGCCCUUAAUUCCUAAACUGUUGGGACCAAAACUCCCAAAAUCAAUUCCAACCUUCCUUUUGUGGUUAUAAACCUUGUGUUAAAAUUUUCUAAUUACUUAUACUAAAGAUAUAGUGCGAAAACCAAAUGUCUUCGAACGACGACAACGAUGACGCCAACGUCAUACCGAUAUACAUUUUCAAUUUUUGCGGUCGUAUAAAAUACAUUAGGAGAGUCAGUCAUCAGAAAUAAAAAAAACAUUUAAAUCUUUUUUUUCUUUUUUUCUUUUUUUACAUGAAAUGAUAAUGCAAGGUAAAUUUCCUUUCAGAAUUUGUAGGUAAGAAGGAAAGAUGACAGAUUUUAUAUUUAUGAGACAACAACCCAACAUAACAAUAAACCUAAAUUCAAUACAGUCUUCAGCAUAAGAUAAUGUCAUGUAAUGUCAACCAAUGGCUCCUCUGAGUCU
rnacentral:lncRNA from 1 species